rnacentral:tRNA from 1 species
CGGGGUGUAGCGCAGCUUGGUAGCGCAUCCGCUUUGGGAGCGGAGGGCCGCAGGUUCAAAUCCUGUCACCCCGA